rnacentral:rRNA from 1 species
CAGCAGUAGCCACGGUAAUACAGAGGGUGCGAGCGUUAAUCGGAUUUACUGGGCGUAAAGCGUGCGUAGGCGGCUUUUUAAGUCGGAUGUGAAAUCCCUGAGCUUAACUUAGGAAUUGCAUUCGAUACUGGGAAGCUAGAGUAUGGGAGAGGAUGGUAGAAUUCCAGGUGUAGCGGUGAAAUGCGUAGAGAUCUGGAGGAAUACCGAUGGCGAAGGCAGCCAUCUGGCCUAAUACUGACGCUGAUGUACGAAAGCAUGGGGAGCAAACAGGAUUAGAUACCCCUGUAGUCCCUGUCUCUUAUAC